rnacentral:misc_RNA from 1 species
AGCAGUAGCAAUAUUUGAUUGUGUAACAAAUAUGGCUGACCGUCGUGACUGGGUUAUGUGAAGUGUGUUGGCGGUUCUCUGUUUUAUUCGGAUUAAAAAAGCGAAUCACUUGAAAGUAAGUUCAUUUUGUCUGGCCGUUAAAUAUUGAGAGCAUUGGAUUUUGUUGAAUCGGUCGAGAGUACGGUGGAUUUGUUAUACUGUCGGUAAACAUAUAUUCGUUAAGACAUGUCUUUUGGACGGCACAAGAUAUCUGGCAAACGUUAUCUCAACGUAAGCGAUAGUUCGUCAGACGAAGAAUAUCGUAGCCGUAAGAGCAGCUACGGACACUCAGAUGAAAGUUUUGAAAACCAUUCUCAGAUAUUAAAAAAGGCGGACACAUCAACGAGCUCAUUGGACGUAAGGGUUUCCAGAAGAGGUAGAGGUACUUCAAAAAGACCGUGUAUGAACAAAAAUGCUCGAGCAGCGAGGGAGAACAGAAUACGUAAGAAAAAACAUCUCGAACAGGUAGAAAACAAGCUGUCGUUUUAUCAGCAGAAAAAUAAGAGUCUGGUAAACGUUAUUCAGAAGCAAGAUAUUGAUAUUAAGAAGUUGCAAGGCGAGGUAACUUACCUCAGGUGUAUCCUGAAAAAUGAUACAAACAUUACAGCGCUUUUGCAAUCGAUGAACGAAGGACUCAGCAAAUCAUCUAUUGCCAAAACUUCAAGACUCAGGGAUAAAUUGUGUGAUGAUAAGUCAACCCUAAAACAAAUCGUAACCAACAGAAAUGACAAUAUAGCAAAUAAUCUAUCAAUGAAAAACAUUGGAAUGAUGAAAUCACCUACAAAUAAUAUAAUUGUAACUUCGGAAUCUGAUCAUACAUAUACUAUUCCCAAAACUGAAAACAUUUUAAAACCAAAUCCCGUUCAUGGAGAUCUAAUUGGAGAUGAGCAGCACGGGAACUAUAAAGAUUCAGCAUUUGAUAAUAGUGUAUCCUUAGGUUUUAAAAAACAGACAUCUAUGACUCCACCUUCAAGCAAUUCGGAUGACUUGAUCAAUAUUAAUUUCUCAGACGCAGAUAUAAAUGAGUGGCCCGGAUUAAAUGUUGAUAUUUAUGACAGUUUGACAAACUUUGAUCAUCUAUUAAGUCCUUCUGAUACUUUGGGAAACUUAAACACUCUAUAUGAUGAAUCAAAUGUACUUGAGCAAUUCAGAGAUGCUGGUAUCUGCUUACAUGUGAAUUCUGAAAAAGUUUCCCUGGAAUUCUGCUCAAUUUGUCACAUGAACAGUCUUCACUCAACUCAAUCAUUAUAAAAAAACAGCCAGGAGAGUUAUUUUUGUACAAUAACCGUCAACAAUCGAACUUAUUGUUCGAGGAAACUUUGGAUUGAAUUCCAAAAUGAUCGAUUCACUUGUGCUUUCUAUGAAAAAUAAGCAGCUAGUUGAUGAGUUGAUAAAUUAAUCAUUUACUAUAUUGUUGUAUAUAAUUAUUAAUUUUUGUGACUCAGAAAAUAUGCUAGAAGAUAAGGCCAACUGUUUAUAAUAUUUAUGAAAACUCACAUUAUAUUCCAUUGAGUAUAAUUAGAUUAGUACUAGCUAUAAUUUUCCUCCGAGAGUAUAAAAAAUGUUUACUUUUCCAGAACAGCCGCUUGGCAGAGUUGACCUGGCAGUUGGGAAUUUGUACAAAGUCCUUGCAUAACAAGUUUGGACUUAUUGGAGCUGCGGUUGGACCUAUUGAGUAUUGAAUAAGUUUCAGCAUGUCCACAGGUUGAGUAUGCGUAUCGACAUGAUUCUUAUGUAUUAUUGAACAUACUUUAGUUUGUCAACAAUAAUCUGAAGAAAAAAGAUAGACUAUCAAUUCACAUUUAAAUAGUGGUGACACGAUAAGACAGACUGUGAAUAAUGACGUGGAUUGGUACUAACAGCGUUGAGAAAUAUUUCACAUGACACAAUUAGUAUCAACUUUUUUAAAUUCAGAAAGAAGUUGAUAAUUUAUGCCGUAUUUUCCAUAACUCUGUAAGAUCUUAAUCUUUUGGUACUAAAAUUGGAUUUAAAACAACUGUCUUUAAACUGUACUUUACAUUAAACUCGUGAGUCUUUAGAGCAAAAGUGUACCAUUUUUUAUUUAGAUAAAUCAAGUAUUUCAAUAUGGAAUGACUAAAGAGUUUAAAAUGUUCAAGAAUUUUAUCAUUCAUCGAUUGGUGAUUUAAGUUUCAGCUACAACCUUCUGCGAUGAUUGAAUCAAAAUGGAGCCUGCUGCAGUAUCGAGUAAUCCUUGGGCAAAAUUUAUACACAAAGAAGUCGUCUCAAAUAUUUCCAAGUUUCAUAUUUCAUUUAUGAAUUUCACUGGAAUAUAAAAGAAUCAGAUUUUUAUAACGGAUUUGCUCUUAGAUUUUUUUUGAUAUACUUUCUGGAUCAUGCUGCAAUUUUUUUAUAUGAGGCCAUCUCUUUGUUGUGAAGAUAUUGCCCAGUAAAAAUGUGAGUAAGCGUUUUUAAAGCUCUCGGAGGUUUGUUAUAGAACUAAAC